GCAGACACAUUCCAGCCAAUCAGCAGCAGACCCUCCCUCCCAGACCCUCCCAUCUCCUGGACAGAAUGCAGCUUCACAAUGAAUGUAAAAUGGAUGCUGUCCAGGAGGUGGGAGGGUCUGGGAGGGAGGGUCUGCUGCUGAUUGGCUGGAAUGUGUCUG